rnacentral:rRNA from 1 species
CCCUUAGAUGUUCUGGGCAGCACGCGCGCUACAAUGGUCUUCGCAAACGGAUGCAUUCUCGAAGGAGAAUGCCAAUCUUGGAAUCUAUGCCUUGGUCGGGACAGUUGCUUGCAAUUUUUCGACUCGAACCGGGAAUUCCUUGUAAUCGUGAUUCAUCACAUCACGAUGAAUACGUCCCUGCCCUUUGUACACACCGCCCGUCGCUCCUACCGAUCGAAGAGUUAGGUGAAUUGUUUUGAUCGAUAAGAUUUGACUAUGGUCAACUCUCGUUGGGAAAUUCUGUGAAUCUGACUGUUUAGAGGAAGGAAAAGUCGUAACA